ensembl:lncRNA
GACGUCAGCCUGCCGUCCCUGCCGGCUUCCGGACCCUGACACGGUCCAACAAGCCCUUCUUCACCCGGGCUGAGUCGCUUCUUGUUUCUUGCCACCGAACCGUCCUUGACUAAGACACCUUACAACACAGCUGCUGGCUCGCCCCCGCCACCCACUCCCUCGUUCUUUUCUUCUCCCGGAAUCUGUUUUCCCGUUUCUAUUGAGACAGCCACGCUGCACACACAGGGCCUGAAUUUUCACUUGAACAAACGCUGCCUGGCCUGGGCCCAAAGAGGACAAGCAGCAACCCCGUGACUUGGCCACACAACAGGUCACCUUCCCGACCCAGGGAUUGAACCCAUGUCUUCCGUGUCUCCUGGCAGGCAGGCGCUUUACCACUAGCGCCCUCAGGAUGAGGGGACCCUCUCUAACAUGCCAAGAUCUGCCACGGGCCAAAGUUGUCUCUUGCGUUUUGGCCAAAAAUAAACUUUCUUUUGCACAUUCUAUGGGACUUUUUGGAAAAUUUUCUCUCCUGAGGAAACGCCACGUUUUUCUCUUGGUGUUUUAUCUGACACUACACUUCGGCUAUUCCCUCAAAGAAGAAGUUCCUACCGCCUUGGGGGCAUUUUUCUCUCGUGCUGUAGUUCGGGGGGCAUGGGUCUGUUUCAGUUACUUCUCUUCACUCAGUCUUCCUCCCCUGGCGCCCCUCCCUCUCCUCCAGCCCUCACUCACUCCCAGAUGAGACACUGGGCAUCACGUGGUUCGCAGAUUCGAACACAUCCGUUUAGGAGCACCUCCAAACGAAAGGAUGCCCUCUGGCAAGCAUUCUGCUCUAACAAGUGGCAGGUCCCCCUCCCCUGUGGACAACGCACAGCCAUGAGAACCACGAGUCACGAGACUCAGUGAAUCCAGGGCACGUCCUUCCCUGCAGCCUGCUCUUCGAGGGACCGCCUCUGAAAUAAAGACUGGUCCUCCACGUAAGAAAGGGCACAGACACGUUUUUUUAGUUCAUUUGCUUCUUUCGCUUGGCUUUUUGGUUGAUUUGCCGAAGUGGUAGUGACUGUAUUAUACAGACCUAACUCCUACAAGCACAUGUCUCCAUCAGCGUGAAUAAGCAAAGGACUUCCCUGGUGAUCCAGUGGUUAAGAACCCACCUUCCAGGACAGGGGAGGCGGGUUCAAUCCUGGUCGAAGAACUGAGAUCCCACAUGCCACCAGGAAGCUCAGCCUACACUCCGUGACUGGAGAAGCCCAGUACCACGGCUGAGACCCAACACAGCCAGAUACAUAGAGACUUCUUAAAAGAAAUAAAACAAUAAUUAUGGGCACAUGAUUAGAACUGCACCUAUCAUGCUUGUUUUUGACAUGAUGACUACAGAAACUGGCACCACAGGAGGAGGAGAAAAAGCUGACUGGGGUCACAGACACCCUUGGCUUAAGGGGCCCUAGACCGGCACCACCAUGCCCCUGUCCUUACCGCUGGUAAUCGGUAUAAAUAAAUCAGCUGUGAUUUAUUUUGCUGAUGUAUAAAUGCAUGGAUUUUAUGUUCCAUCUUGUAUGCCAUAUAGGCAUUCCUUGGUGAUAUGUAGAAUUGCUUUUGUCAGCUUUGAUUAAAUAGCUCAUG